rnacentral:lncRNA from 1 species
AACAAAUUAAGCACGGCAGACAUGUCUUGCUGGACCGAAUAAGGCCAAAAAAAAUCAAACAAACACUAAAGGUAUCCACAGACUGACAAAUUCAUGAAAGUAAGAAUGACAAACAAUAUAAAGAAGUAACCUUUAACAACCAGCUUCAAUAAUUUUAAUAAACUAUAUCAUAACAACCAUGGUCAGAACUGUACUUGCCUCUAUGUGUGUGUGUGUGUGUGUGUGUGUGUGUGUGUGUGUGUGUGUGUGUGUGUGUGUGUGUGUGUGUGUGUGUGUGUGUGUGUGUGUGUGUGUGUGUGUGUGUGUGUGUGUGUGUGUGUGUGUGUGUGUGUGUGUGUGUGUGUGUGUGUGUGUGUGUGUGUGUGUGUGUGUGUGUGUGUGUGUGUGUGUGUGUGUGUGUGUGUGUGUGUGUGUGUGUGUGUGUGUGUGUGUGUGUGUGUGUGUGUGUGUGUGUGUGUGGAGACCACAAUCUUAAAGUAGUCAUAAAAUGAGAAAUAAAGAUUUAAGGCCAAACCUCCAAGCGUUGUAGGUCAGUUACAGC